CUUCGGAUCGUAAAACUCUGUUGUUAGGGAAGAACAAGUACCGGAGUAACUGCCGGUACCUUGACGGUACCUAACCAGAAAGCCACGGCUAACUACGUGCCAGCAGCCGCGGUAAUACGUAGGUGGCAAGCGUUGUCCGGAAUUAUUGGGCGUAAAGCGCGCGCAGGCGGUCCUUUAAGUCUGAUGUGAAAGCCCACGGCUCAACCGUGGAGGGUCAUUGGAAACUGGGGGACUUGAGUGCAGAAGAGGAGAGUGGAAUUCCACGUGUAGCGGUGAAAUGCGUAGAGAUGUGGAGGAACACCAGUGGCGAAGGCGACUCUCUGGUCUGUAACUGACGCUGAGGCGCGAAAGCGUGGGGAGCGAACAGGAUUAGAUACCCUGGUAGUCCACGCCGUAAACGAUGAGUGCUAAGUGUUAGAGGGUUUCCGCCCUUUAGUGCUGCAGCAAACGCAUUAAGCACUCCGCCUGGGGAGUACGGUCGCAAGACUGAAACUCAAAGGAAUUGACGGGGGCCCGCACAAGCGGUGGAGCAUGUGGUUUAAUUCGAAGCAACGCGAAGAACCUUACCAGGUCUUGACAUCCUCUGACACUCCUAGAGAUAGGAAUUUCCCCUUCGGGGGACAGAGUGACAGGUGGUGCAUGGUUGUCGUCAGCUCGUGUCGU
rnacentral:rRNA from 1 species